CGAAGGGGGCUAGCGUUGUUCGGAAUUACUGGGCGUAAAGCGCGCGCAGGCGGUCUUCCAAGUCAGUGGUGAAAGCCCGGAGCUCAACUCCGGAACUGCCAUUGAAACUGUAAGACUUGAGGACGAGAGAGGUGAGUGGAAUUCCCAGUGUAGAGGUGAAAUUCGUAGAUAUUGGGAAGAACACCGGUGGCGAAGGCGGCUCACUGGCUCGUAUCUGACGCUCAGGCGCGACAGCGUGGGGAUCAAACAGGAUUAGAUACCCUGGUAGUCCACGCCGUAAACGAUGAAUGCUAGCCGUUGGGCAGCUUGCUGUUCAGUGGCGCAGCUAGCGCAUUAAGCAUUCCGCCUGGGGAGUACGGCCGCAAGGUUG
rnacentral:rRNA from 1 species